rnacentral:rRNA from 1 species
UACCGAAAGCGGCUGGCACCCGUCCACAACUGCCACAUCUCGGGUCCUCGGACAGAACCCCGCGAAAGAAGUGCAUUAAUCUGUUAUGCGAAGUUGGGCGAGAGGCGUCUCGCCGGAUCCCCCGAGGGUCCGAAUCAAAGCGCACACCCCAUUUUCAACCACACCAAACUCUGAAUCUGAACUCGAAAGGGAGGCCUGGCUUCACGGCCGGCCGCCCUCAACC